GCGUAAAGUGAAAAAGUCGAGUUCUAUUAGCUAAAGGUGUCUAAUAGUUGUGGAAUCUUAAAUUAAAGGUCCUUAUGUUGUAAUUAGAUCAUUUUUAAUAUGAGUGGACAAAUAUGUACAUCUUUUUAAUGGUUUUAAAGGUUUUAUAAUAAGGUUAAUAUUGUAAAUUAAUAAAUGAAUUAAAGAAAUAAUAAGUAAAAUAAACAUACCA
rnacentral:lncRNA from 1 species